rnacentral:rRNA from 1 species
AUUGAACGCUGGCGGCAGGCUUAACACAUGCAAGUCGAGCGGAGAUGAGGUGCUUGCACCUUAUCUUAGCGGCGGACGGGUGAGUAAUGCUUAGGAAUCUGCCUAUUAGUGGGGGACAACAUUCCGAAAGGAAUGCUAAUACCGCAUACGUCCUACGGGAGAAAGCAGGGGAUCUUCGGACCUUGCGCUAAUAGAUGAGCCUAAGUCGGAUUAGCUAGUUGGUGGGGUAAAGGCCUACCAAGGCGACGAUCUGUAGCGGGUCUGAGAGGAUGAUCCGCCACACUGGGACUGAGACACGGCCCAGACUCCUACGGGAGGCAGCAGUGGGGAAUAUUGGACAAUGGGGGGAACCCUGAUCCAGCCAUGCCGCGUGUGUGAAGAAGGCCUUAUGGUUGUAAAGCACUUUAAGCGAGGAGGAGGCUACUGAGACUAAUACUCUUGGAUAGUGGACGUUACUCGCAGAAUAAGCACCGGCUAACUCUGUGCCAGCCGCCGCAGUAACAC